GUAUGGUACUGGCACAAAAACAGACACAUAAAUCAAUGGAACAGAAUAGAGAGCCCAGAAAGAAACUCACACACUUAUGUUCAAUUAAUCUAUGAUGAAGGAGGAAAGAAUAUACAAUGGAGAAAAGACAGUCUUUUCAAUAAGUGGUGCAGGGAAAACUAGACAGCCACACAUAAAAGAAUGAAAUUAGAACAUUCUCUAACACCAUAUACAAAACUAAACUCAAAAUGGAUUAAAGACCUAAAUGUAAGAUAGGAAACCAUAAAACUCCUAGAGGAAAACAUAGCCAAAAUAUUCUUUGAAAUAAAUUGUAGCAAUAUUUUUUGGAUCUGUCUCCUAAAGCAAAGGACAUAAAAGCAAAAAUAAACAAAUAGGACCUUAGUAAUAAAACUUAAAUGCUUUUGCACAACAAAGACAACAAUUGACAAAUGAAAAGACAACCUACUGAAUGAGAAAAAUAUUUGCAAAUUAUAUGACUGACAGGAGUUAAUACUCAACAUAUAUAAACAGCUAAUAUAACUUAAAAAAAUAAAUAAAUAAACCAAUUUAAAAAUGGGUAGAAGAACUGAAUAUACAUUUUUCCAAAGAGGAAAUGCCUAUGGCCAAGGGACAUGAAAAGAUGCUGAUCACUAAUCCAGGAAAUGCAAAUCAAAACCAUGGUGGUAUGUCACCUCACACCUUUCAGAAGGGCUGUCAUCAAAAGGAACACAUAGAACAAAUGUUGGUGAGGAUGUGGAUCCCUGCCUUUUUGAAGCUUACUCUAGGGAAAGGAGAGAGAGAGAUCAAUCAAACACUGCAUGAUAAAUGUGUAAAGGGUUUGGUGCUGGGAGGAGACUGCAGGGAUCCUCAGGGGCACCCAGCAGCCCAGCCUGGCUUGGCCUAGGGGUGGAGGGAGCUUGUGGGAGGAAGUGACCCUUGAGCGAGUGUGCAGUGGUUAACUAGAGAGAGAAGGAGGCCUUCCCUACAGAGGAACAGCAGGCACGGGCCCUGGAGGAUGGUCCACAUGCUGCAAGGGCUGCAGGAUAAAUAAGGGAAUCCCUGAUAGGGGUCAGAGCCACUGUGCUGGGGGAGAAGGGAGAAGAGCCAUGGACGUCUAGGGCAGAAGGAAAUAGGCACAGACGGUGGGUUCUGGGAGAAGAAGACAGGACAGAUGCUGAUAGGGGAGUCUGUGCAGGAAGAGGGAGGCAGGGUGCACCUGGAAGGGUCCUGGAGGCUGGAAAGUCUUUGAUCUCUGUGGGGAGCAGGGUGGCUCCUGGGGCAGAGCUGGAAAGGCCAAGGGCAGGCUGGGCUCAGAGGAAAGGGGCAAAAUCUAAAGAGUAUUAAGCAUACUUCAAGCUUAGUAAUUUCCCCCUGUUCAGCCCUGAGAAUAAUCAGGUUCAUGCUCUCUGCCCCAGAGAGGGGUGGGGACCCUGCCACUCUGCAGGAGAGCUCACUGCCUGCCCAGUGAGUUACACCUAGAGUUUGGCCCAAGUUGCCCAGGACAUCAGGAAGCAUCAGAUGCACAGAGAGGGCUGGGCCAGUGGGUCCCCUGGAUGCAGACUCACUACUCAAGCUGUGCGGGUUGGGGCUUGCAGGCUGCUCCCUGUUAAGCAUGUCCUUUCCAGGUUUCACUUACAGCACCUCUCAAAUAGCCUUUGCCUUGCAGCAUGCUACUAAGACUUCGAAGAAUUGCUGAGAAAGCACUAGAAUUUAGCAGGUGCAUCUUGGAACAGCCUUGAUCCUGGGCCUUUCACUCUCAGACUCAGGCUUCCUCCGAAGGCCUCCCCAUGGGAACUGACCCCCUCUUGGAUGACCAGGAACCCACCUUUUAGAGAAGCCACUUGCCUCCAGAUAUGAGACUCCUUCCUGACACCCGGACCCGAAUACCCAAACAUUUCUGAAUUCAUGCGGAGUCCUUCUGAUCUGGGCAUCCAGGUGCCUGCUGGCAAGGACAGUUCUUGUGCCAGUUACCUGAAGACCUUGGGGGCAAAUGCACUCACUCAACUGAGAAAUGAUCUAAAAGUCUUGAUCAGGAGCUGAUUGUAGCCAGUCCAAACAAACAAGCUGACCCCCAAAGGUUCCACAACAACCCUUGGGGACUAAAACAUAUGCUACUAAAAAAAAACCAAGAGGUUAAAGAAGAAACCAAAGAGGAAAUCAGGAAACACCUCGAGACAAAUGAAAAUGGAAACACAAACUUUCCCAAAUCUAUGGGACGCUGCAAAACUAGUUCAAAGAGGGAAGUUUCUAGUGAUACAGGUCUAACUCAAGAAACAGGGAAAAUCUCAAAUAAACAACCUAACCUACCACACCCUGCUUUAUCUUGCCCUUUCUGGAAUGCAUGGGAGAUAUUACUAGCCAGUUUCUCACAGAAGCCACUUGAGGUCAAGGGCAGAGCCCUUGUUUCCCUCAGCUUCCCCUCAGCUGGACAGGCCCUGGGGGCCUUCGCCGGUCAGACCCAGGCCUGAACGCGGCAGUCCCACUGGUCCUCUGCUUCGUGAACUGUGGCCUGGCUGGGUCCCCCCUUUCCACCACCCAUAAGCUCUCAGCCCAAACUGAGCGAGGACCCAAACCUCCAUCCCAGGGAAAUGGGCACCAGGCCACUUACUCAGCUGGGCCACCACAGUCGUCCUGGAAACAAGGUCACGUGAAGCAGGGCUGUGCUGGGGGCAGGACUGGCCCUUCUGACAUCGUUCCAGAUUGCCCGUUGGCCUGCCCCUUCCCCUCCCCCCUCAACAGAGGAAGACGGAGGCAGACGGGCUUUCCCACAACCCCUGCAGGUGUUCCCUGCAGCUUCCAGCCAAUCCCUACAAUACAGUCCUGGGCGACAGCUGCUCUGGCCUUUGCUUGUGGGCUGAGCCGAAGAGGAAAGGCUGUAGUGUCCACAGGUGCGAGUUCAGGCUCAGAGAUCCCACUGUGGGCAGCACCCUACGCUGAGGGCAUGUGUGUGCAGGUGUGUGUGCAGGUGUGCACACAUGUGUGAGCUAUGCAGGCUGUAAUUUCCAAAACCAAAAUGGACUUUUUCCUACUUUGCACAUUCUUUUCAAGGAUACAGAUUUUUUUUGGCCACACCCUGUGGCUUGUGUGAUCUUAGCUCCCCAACGAGGGAUCGAACCCAGGCCCUUGACAGUGAAAGCACAGAGUCCUAACCACUGGACCACCAGGGAGUUCCCGAGAGUACAGAUUCUUAACGAGGACACAAGUCUCCAAAGAUGCUCUGGUCAGCAGGGUGGCCAGUGCAGGCACAAGGGUCAGAACUCCCUGCUUAACCCGCACCUCCACCCCGAGGUCCUCAUCCCUGUGGGAGAAUCGUGGUAACUGCUAAGACCUGUGAGCCCAGGCGCUGUCACAGUCACCCUCCCCCCUGGUUGCCGUUGGCUCCAGAAACACAGCUGCUUUGGACUCGGAGCCCUUCCUUACACUGUUCCCCAUCCCGACGGCCCUCUCCCCGCUAAAGGCUGCAUCCCAUCUUUAGAACCCCAGCCUGCGACUCCAGGUGGGGGAAGGACUCCAGGUGUUUGAUCGCGCUGGUAAACUUUCAGGAGGUCCCAUCUUCUAGGAGGCCCUUUGUAAAUCCUUCCCCGCUAUUUCUGAGGCAGGAGAUAGAUGGGCCCCAGGCCGAACAGCUGGAGUUGGUCCCCUGUGGACAGAGACUCCAAAAUAGCAGGAGGGAGGAGAAGCUGAGCCCCGCCCAGGUACGAGAUAGGAGACCACACGUUUCUCAUUCUCGAAGUCAAGGAGACCUUCCCGACUAUAACGCUUCUUGGAGGUCAAAAGGGGAGCGAUGUCGAGCUACCCAUAGGCCUCUUCACCGCGAUCCAUCUUGGCUGAGAGAUGUACGCACACACAGGGAGGACCCUGAGAUAAACCGAAUACGGACUCAGAACCAGGCAAGUCAAAAUGAUUGGCCGAAGGAAACCCGGAAGAGAUGCCCCAUAUAAGUGAUUUAAACUACCACGAGGGCGCGACUGUCUCUGAGCCCGCCUGUGUGUCUAUCCACACGUACUGUACUCUUCCUCCUAAUAAACACUUUACUUGUUUCACUACUUUCUGUCUCUCUG